GACUUGGACUUUGUUCCUCUGAGAUGAGGGUGAAGAUGAGAAACUCAUGUGAUCCCAGGAAGGAGUAUAGAGCUGCUUACCGAGUCCAGCAGUGUUGCAGUUCCCAGCCCUGGCUGGUGGCUCCAUGCUCUUCCUGAGAUGUUGAGAACUGAAGGCUCCAGGUGUUGAGAGGAUUGAGCAGCCAGGUGAGGACCACGAUUCUUCACCAGAGUGAUUCAACGAUGCUGACGUGAUCCCUGCUGAUUUGGUCAUGGAGCUCAUUUCCAGGGCUUCACGGUCGCUGGUCCUGGGGGAGGGAUCUUGCUGUUGCUGGGUAACAACACCUCUGGAACGUCAGGAUUUUCUGUGUGCGACCUCCACCAGACACUUCCAACAUGUCUCGUAAUAAACAUCAGUAAAGCCAG